UUAACGAAACAUUUAUGCCGAAAACGAUAUUUCAAUUAUUCGCCUGCAAUUACCACGUUAGGUCCCUUUACUGAAAAUAUAAUAAUAUUCAUGAACCCCGACACACACAAAAAAAAAAUCAUUUCUUAAUUAUACAAUCAUGUCAGUCCAGAAGGCGAAAAGACGACGUUCGGCGGGACGACGUUUGGCGGGGCGACAUUCGACUGAGCGCGUUCGGCGAGGCGACAUUCGGCGGGGGCGCAAUAACGACGUUCGGCGGGGCGACGUUUGGCGUUGUGUUGUUGCGACAGAACAAAAUAACGAAAUAGCACAAAUCAGCCACCAUAAGGGAUGCCUCUCUAUUUCAUGGUGGUGAAGUAAAGAAGGAAAUAAACUGGAUGUCACCAAUAAUACAUCCUUGUUAGCUUUGUUAACCUUGGUGGAGACGAAGAAGAGUGUGGUUCAGCUUUUGGCAUUAUGAGGAUGUACUGUGAAAGUGAGCUGCAUACUACAUGGUUAGUAUCUGAAGGGUUGAGUUCUGCGGUCACUGAACGAGGAGUGCCAUUUUGAAUUGUUCAUUAUUAUUGUAAUAUAAAUAAUUUAAUAAUGUAUUUU